AAGGGCACCACAAGAACGCGUGGAGCAUGUGGCUUAAUUUGACUCAACGCGGGAAAUCUUACCGGGUCCGGACACACUGAGGAUUGACAGGCAAUAUUAAUACGUGUUCGCACGUAUUAUGUUAAAUAUGCUAGUCCUUUCAUGAUUAUGUGAUAGGUGGUGCAUGGCCGUUCUUAGUUCGUGGAGUGAUCUGUCUGCUUAAUUGCGUUUCACUAAGGGCCUAUAAAUUUACGUGUGUUGCGGCACUUUGACCCCUUUCUUCGGAAAGCGCGUGUCUUAGUUUGCUUUGCUCACACAAUUAGGUCCUGAAAGCAACGAACGUGACCGCAACCUCUUGUUGCCUUUAUACCAAACAUGUUUGACAUUUUUAUGGCAUUCAUGAAAAAAGGCUUUUUAAACUAGAGGGACCGCUGUUACUUUCUUAAACCAGAGGAAGGUUGCGGCAAUAACAGGUCUGUGAUGCCCUUAGAUGUUCCGGGCUGCACACGUGCUACAAUGAUUAUUGCAGUGAGCAUCUCAUUUUUACACACCGCAUGCGCGAGUCCAUUUAUUCACUUCGGUGCUUUAAAUGUGUAUUUCUGCGCGCGGUAAAGCCUGCUUCGAAAGUAAGUGGGUAAUCAAUUAGAAGUAAUGAUUUCCUUUUUAGCACACAUAUAUACGGCGUCUAUACCCGGGUUACCUUGUUGUAACUUUUGUGUGUAUAGAUGUUUUUUCCGUAUGUGCGAUUGUCAAUUCAUGGUGGGGACAGACCAUUGUUAAUUGUUGGUCUCGGUCUUAACUAGGAAUGCCUUGUACGGGUCUUUGGUUCAACAAACCACCCGGAAUACGUCCCUGCCCUUUGUACACACCGCCCGUC
rnacentral:rRNA from 3 species